rnacentral:rRNA from 1 species
UACACACCGCCCGUCACACCACGAAAGUCGGUGGGACCAGAAGACAUUGUGCUAACCGCAAGGGGGUAGAUGUUCAAGGUCUGGUCGAUGAUUGGGGUG